rnacentral:rRNA from 1 species
UACGUAAGGGGCGAGCGUUAUCCGGAAUCACUGGGCGUAAAGCGUGCGUAGGCGGCGAGUUAAGACAGGUGUGAAAGCCCCGAGCUUAACUUGGGAAUUGCGCUUGUGACUGGCGUGCUGGAGUGUGGCAGAGGGAGGUGGAAUUCCACGUGUAGCAGUGAAAUGCGUAGAGAUGUGGAGGAACACCGAUGGCGAAGGCAGCCUCCUGGGCCAGCACUGACGCUCAUGCACGAAAGCGUGGGGAGCAAACAGG